rnacentral:rRNA from 1 species
GAUGAAUGCUGGCGGCGUGCCUAACACAUGCAAGUCGAGCGGUAACAGGAGUAGUUUACUACUUGCUGACGAGCGGCGGACGGCUGAGUAACGCGUGGGAACGUGCCCCAGAGUGAGGGAUAACUGCCCGAAAGGGUGGCUAAUACCGCAUAUGGUCUUCGGAUUAAAGGAUUUAUCCGCUUUGGGAGCGGCCCGCGUUAGAUUAGGUAGUUGGUAGGGUAAUGGCCUACCAAGCCUACGAUCUAUAGCUGGUCUGAGAGGAUGACCAGCCAGACUGGAACUGAGACACGGUCCAGACUCCUACGGGAGGCAGCAGUGAGGAAUCUUCCACAAUGGGCGAAAGCCUGAUGGAGCAACGCCGCGUGAAGGAUGAAGGCCCUCGGGUUGUAAACUUCUUUUAUAAGUGAAGAAUAUGACGGUAACUUAUGAAUAAGCACCGGCUAACUACGUGCCAGCAGCCGCGGUAA